GACGUAGGGGGCAAGCGUUGUCCGGAUUUACUGGGCGUAAAGAGCGUGUAGGCGGUUGGGCAAGUCUGCUGUGAAAUCUCCAGGCUCAACUUGGAGGGGUCAGUGGAAACUGCCAAACUUGAGGACGGUAGAGGGGGGUGGAAUUCCCGGUGUAGUGGUGAAAUGCGUAGAGAUCGGGAGGAACACCAGCGGCGAAGGCGGCCCCCUGGGCCGCUCCUGACGCUGAGACGCGAAGGCCAGGGUAGCGAACGGG
rnacentral:rRNA from 1 species